CCGACCUUAGCUCAGCUGGAAGAGCGCGAGACUGUAAUUGGAUAUCUUGAGGCCGUGUGUUCGAUCCACACAGGUCGGA